rnacentral:rRNA from 1 species
UACGUAUGGGGCAAGCGUUAUCCGGAAUUAUUGGGCGUAAAGAGUGCGUAGGUGGUUACCUAAGCGCAAGGUUUAAUCUUGAGGCUCAACCUCAUUCUGCCUUGCGAACUGGGCUACUUGAGUGCUGGAGGGGGAAAGCGGAAUUCCCAGUGUAGCGGUGAAAUGCGUAGAUAUUGGGAAGAACACCGGUGGCGAAGGCGGCUUUCUGGACAGUAACUGACACUGAGGCACGAAAGCGUGGGGAGCAAACAGGAUUAGAUACCCCUGUAGUCCCU